GGGAUGGGCCUUUGUUCUAUAUUAUUUGCAUUUCCUGGUCUCUCUCUGUAUAAAGCAAAUGUUACACUACUGGGUAGGUGAUCCUGGGCUAAAAGCAUCUGCUCUUCAUGCAGAAGGACCCAGAUUAUAUUCCCUGGCAUGUCCAAACAGGGCUGGGAGAGAUCCCUGCCUGAAAUCGUGGAGACCCACUGCCAGUCAGCAAGGGUUGAUCAGUGCUUUGGCUCAGUAUAAGACUGUGUCCUAUAUUCCUAUGUCUGUCUCAAAUUCCAGUUAUCUGGGUUAAUUUAAUGAAAUACUGACUCAGCCACUAAGUACUGUAGAAGAAAAUAAAAUGCCUAUCAGUGUCCUCUCCCCUUCCUCCAUCUCUGGACACAACAGAUGCGGGGGUGGGGGGAGAGAAGCAGAGAGAACUGUUUUCACAAUAAUGGACUCUUUCCUGUCAUAGAAAUUCAGAGAGCAAAUCAGUUUGAUGACCUUUUAUGUAAGAAGAGAUGGUAUCUCUAAUUCGGAAAACGGUGAGAGGGAAAGUACAUAUGGCUAAGGCAGCUUUUGUGUGGUUGUGUGGCAAAUGCAGAGGAGUGUGUGUGUGUGUGUGUGUGUAGCUGGGGGGGACUGGAAAAUGGAUGUUUUGGAUCUUCUUAAAUUGUCUGAAAAUGAGUCUGACUCCGUUCCAUAAUUGCAGCUCUUUAAAAAUAUGCAUCUCUUAAUCCAGAAUCCUCUCUUGUAAGAGUGGAUCGUUACUGAUGAAUGCCUCUGUAUUCUAAUAGUGUGAGGAUGUUUCCCUUCCAAGCAAGCCGGCUUUCAAAACCUUUAGAUGAAACCCCUUCUCACAGAAGAUACAUGCAAGAUCUACAGGAAAUGGAAAGAGGGACUUGCCUCUUCAUUGCAUUCUGAAGCAGGGCAGGAGAGUAACCAACACUGCCACAAGUGACAACAUACCUAAGGAAGAGCAGAAGACCAGCUGAGCAACUGGGCUUGGAGGACAUUCUGCCCAACCAUCACUUGGAAAGCUCAGGAGGAGUCAAGGUCUUUGAAAGAGGCAGGGAUGACUGAGCAAAAACCCGAGAACAAGUGCUCUGAAACGUCUGACGCAGGAGAUACUUAGCCUUUUAAUAAACAUUCCUUUAAAGAAGAGGGGAGAAAUCAUGACAUUCAUUUUGCACAAAGUUCUGGCCUUGAUGUGUACUCAUUCUGUUGCUGGACCACCACACACACUCCUUUGGGCUGGCGAAGGUCAACAAAGUUCACAACCUGUGCUGCACUCAAGGACACAUUGACACAAAUAGGCUGGAUGCCAAGAUUAGUAUCAGGUGAACGCCACUGGAGUUCACGGAAGUUCACCUCCUCCCUGCUCCCUCUGAUUACCCUCAAGGUCUAACUGCUGAGUCAUCCUGAACACCCAAAGGACUGGGAGAAUUAUAAGUGUGUAGGUAACAGGCACCCCCUUUGCAGCCCAUCUGUCGGUAGAGCAAACCCAUCACAAGUCAAAGUAGCAAUUUCACAACUUUGUCUUCAAAAUAUAACCCUGUGUAUGUAUUGCCUAUACCUGCAGAAUGUUUCAUAUGGAGGUGGUGUGUAGAAACUUCUUUGCGAGAUUCAGCUAAGUUGUGUGCACAGAACAAGGUUUGCUCACACAGUGGGACCCCCUCCUCAAUUCUCCCCCUGGUCCCCCUAAAAGUGGUCUGGAUGGGGGUGGAACCCAAAACAGUUUCAGGGAGGUGGGUAGAAGAGAGGUGGGAAUCUUCUCCUUGCUCAAGCGGACUUCAUUCUGUGUACUCAGGUUUCCUACCCCAUUUGAAUGCUGAUUUAUUUUGUUAUUCCUGGAAUGGAAAGAGCUGGCCAAGCUUUACCACAUUUAUGAGAACCAGGCCUAACUUUGGCCUAUCCUAACUCAAAAGGUGGUUUUGGUGAGACUGAGCCUGACAAACCCGUAGCUAUUUAGAGCUCCCUAAAGGAAGGGUGAGAUGUAGAUGAAAUAAAUAAGAAGAGAGAGAGAGAGAGCACACACACACACACACACACACAAUGUUUAUUUCUGGAAUUAAAAAGGAGGGAAAGAAAUUGCUGAGCUUACAAACUGAAUUGGAAUACAAAAGAGGGAGGUAUGAGGAAGUCUGGGAAACAAGUGAAUGUAAAAGAG